UGUGACUGGAGUUCAGACGUGUGCUCUUCCGAUCUCGGGUGAGUAACGCGUGAGUAACCUGCCUCUCAGAGGGGGAUAACGUUUUGAAAAGAACGCUAAUACCGCAUGACGUCUCUUUAUCGCAUGGUAGAGGGAUCAAAGGAGCAAUCCGCUGAGAGAUGGACUCGCGUCCGAUUAGCCAGUUGGCGGGGUAACGGCCCACCAAAGCGACGAUCGGUAGCCGGACUGAGAGGUUGAACGGCCACAUUGGGACUGAGACACGGCCCAGACUCCUACGGGAGGCAGCAGUGGGGGAUAUUGCACAAUGGGGGAAACCCUGAUGCAGCAACGCCGCGUGAAGGAAGAAGGUCUUCGGAUUGUAAACUUUUGUCCUCAGGGAAGAUAAUGACGGUACCUGAGGAGGAAGCUCCGGCUAACUACGUGCCAGCAGCCGCGGUAAUACGUAGGGAGCGAGCGUUGUCCGGAUUUACUGGGUGUAAAGGGUGCGUAGGCGGACUGGCAAGUCAGUGGUGAAAACUAUGGGCUUAACCCAUAGACUGCCAUUGAAACUGUUGGUCUUGAGUGAAGUAGAGGUAGGCGGAAUUCCCGGUGUAGCGGUGAAAUGCGUAGAGAUCGGGAGGAACACCAGUGGCGAAGGCGGCCUACUGGGCUUUAACUGACGCUGAGGCACGAAAGUGUGGGUAGCAAACAGGAUUAGAUACCCUGGUAGUCCACACUGUAAACGAUGAUUACUAGGUGUGGGGGGUCUAACCCCCUCCGUGCCGGAGUUAACACAAUAAGUAAUCCACCUGGGGAGUACGACCGCAAGGUUGAAACUCAA
rnacentral:rRNA from 1 species